CUCUCGGUCCCAUUGUCGUACCUAGACGGGGGCGGUGGCGCGAGGGAGCUGCGGUCAGGAGGGACAGCAGCCACUGGCAUCUCACCGUCUGUGGCCGGAGCCCGGACUGCAGCAGCAACGUACUGGAGCCGCCGCGUUUGGGGCGGGGCGGGAUGGAGGAGCAGGGACCCAAGGAGCCGCGAGGGUAGUGCGGGCGCGCCCGGGUGGUCCCACCGACAAGAUGCCCGCCGUCCCAGAGCGCGACUGGCUGGGGGUUUGGAGGAUACACCCGCGUGCGUGGAGCGAGUGGUGCGUCUCUUGUUGCGUCCCAGGCGGCCAGGUUGGAAUGCCGAAGUCCCAUCCAGCCCCCCAUGUUUGAGCGGCUCCCAAGGCUACGGGGCAGGAGGGGCCGGACGCUGGCGGUCUGAGCCGGCGCUGGCCGGCACUUCCGGGGCAGAGCGGUUCCCCCGCCUGGGAGCCUGCAAGAAUGUGCCUAGUCACGGGGCCGCUCGUGGGGGAGCUGAGGCCUCGGGGCUGGGACCAGGAACCCCUUCCCUGCCAUCACUGUCCUUCUCCCCACAAUUGCACGAGUAGUUUGCUCAUCCCGCUGGGCCAGAUAAAAUUCUUGUGCACCAAGUUUCAAAAGAAGGAUAGAACAUCAGAGUUUGGAGUAAGGAAAGGCUUAUUGAUGAGAAGGCCCAACUUGAGAAGAUGGGAGAACUAAUUCUGAAAUCCAUUCAGGCGUCUUUUUCUGUCAAGGGAAGGGAGGAGGGGCGAAGUGGGCGGGGGCGUGUACAGGUAGGUAUCCAAAGGUGUCCAAGGAAGAGGGCAAAAUUUUUAUAUCCCUUUGUACCUGGUGGACCCCUGCUAAUUAAUGAGUCUAGUUCCUGAGUCAUUACUUUGUGCAUAUUUCCCCACCUCUUCUGCUGAUAAAGGGGUUCCUUAAGCAGAAUUCCUCUAAUUAAUUAUGUUUGUAGCUGGAGCUGUUAGCCUGAAGGCCAUCAGUGGAGAGUGGAAGCAUUUCACUGGUACAGGCUAAGUCCAUCAGUGGGAUCGAUCCUUCAGGGAGCUUGGCAAGAAAUUCCAGCCCGUAGGUGGGGGGCAGAAGAGGUACCCAGGUGCCCUAUGCGCUAGGAUGCCCCGAUGUGCGGCCCCUAAACCGGGGCUCGCACAGUGGGAAAGUUUCGGCUGGAAGACCCCUGAUCGGGAGAAGAGCGGGUGGGGCGGGGUCUCUGUAGUUGAAGUCGAGCGCCCCAACCUUCUCCAUCCUCCCGCGGUGCCUGCUGGUGGCGCACGCCCAGUGCGUGGCCUUGGCCUCUGCAUCAGUGACAGUGGCCGGUUGGCUGUCACAGCGGCCCUCGGUUGGCCCUUUCCAGCUUUGUAGCGUGCAAGCCUUGCUGUGCUGGGGCCAAGGGACAAGUUGGAGCUGUUGAUCUGUUGCGCAAUUGUUAUUUUUCCCAGGGCGGCUUUCUCUUUGGAUUUAGAGUUUCAGACUUGCAAUUCCAAAAUGUGUAAGGCAGGAUAUUCUGUUUUGUGCUGUCAAGGUAGGAAAAAAUAUGCAAGAAGUUGUUUCUGUUCAUGGUAAUUCUCAGUGAAACAUUGAGACCUACAAACUACAUUGAGACACCAACCCCAAAGGACAGGGCCGCUCUGCUCUGUGCUGGUUGUGCCCUCCCCUCACCCCCUGGCCUGUGUGCUCUCCUUCCACUGAUGCCCAAGUGAGACCAGGCCAGACGACCUGUGGGUUCCGGUUCUUUCUACCACCCCAGAGACAGAGGCUCACCCUCUGCUAGAAAAUUUCUUUACCAGGCUGCAUGUUUGGCAGAAACGUGCCUCCCUGGGGCAGUGGAUUGAGGUGAGGAUGGCGACUCCAAAACGUGAGAUUCCAGGUUGCAUUUCACUUGGAAAAUGGGGCCUGCAAUUAGAAGGAGAGAGCCGGAGAGGAAAAGGGAACUAGCUUACAGGAUUCUUUUCAAGGAACCUGGAAGGAAUACAGCCUUUUUUGAUUCUUCUUGAGGGAAGCCUCAGGUUGACCCAGAAUUUUUACCUGAAGAUCUCCUAAAUCUGUAAUACUUAAUUUGCUCUUCCACUUAAGUUCUCUGUGUGAGAAAAGGGAAAGCAUUUUUAAGUAUUUAUUUACUCGUAUGGUUUUAUGCUUGUUAUCUGUACUUUUUUUU